UGGGGAAUUUUGGACAAUGGGGGAAACCCUGAUCCAGCCAUCCCGCGUGUGCGAUGAAGGCCUUCGGGUUGUAAAGCACUUUUGGCAGGAAAGAAACGUCGCGGGUUAAUACCCCGCGAAACUGACGGUACCUGCAGAAUAAGCACCGGCUAACUACGUGCCAGCAGCCGCGGUAAUACGUAGGGUGCAAGCGUUAAUCGGAAUUACUGGGCGUAAAGCGUGCGCAGGCGGUUCGGAAAGAAAGAUGUGAAAUCCCAGAGCUUAACUUUGGAACUGCAUUUUUAACUACCGGGCUAGAGUGUGUCAGAGGGAGGUAGAAUUCCACGCGUAGCAGUGAAAUGCGUAGAGAUGUGGAGGAAUACCGAUGGCGAAGGCAGCCCCCUGGGCCAAUACUGACGCUCAUGCACGAAAGCGUGGGGAGCAAACAGGAUUAGAUACCCU
rnacentral:rRNA from 1 species